GUUGGCUGACGCGGGCAUCUUUUCCCUCAGCAGACUAUAGAUAUACCUUGAAGUGAUGCUCUCUGGCUGUUAAUGAGAGAAAAAGCGAGUGCUUUGCUGAAGAGGCUCUCUGAAGAGGAAACACGAGGGAUAGAGUUGUUCCUGUGGUGGUGAUGCCAUAGCCCCAGCCACAUGCCUCAUCUGAGCUGAAUGCAGAUGCUGUUUCACUGGGACAACCGUUGCCUAAAGCUGCACUGAGGACUCGGACCUGAGAAGUGGCUGAAAACCAUGCUCCUGAGGCAGGUGGAAGGAGAGUGUCAGCAGUGAUUUCAUCGGGAGAAGCAGCUUGUUAGGCACAGACAUCAGCUGUAAGUGGAAAUUUCAGGAGAGACCUUUUGUGGUAUAAAUGAUUCUAAAGUUCAUUGGUUACAUAACGUUUAUGUACUACAGCAAAUGACAUUGUCAUCAGCCUCCUCUGGUUUUAAGGAGGGUUGUGGGGAAGAAUUUCAAGAAAAAGGAGUUUUUGUAGACUUUGUCAACAGUGCUCUGAAUUUGCUUUGUGCUGGCUGAUAUGGAGCUGCAGUGUGUCUCAGCUGCAGGGGAUGUGCUGACCUUUAAUGCCCAUUUUCAGUCCUCAUUACAUCCUGAAAGGAUGGCUCCAUCCAUGCCCUGGGUUUUGCCCUGGCUGGUACCCUAUAGAUGAUGCCUGCUCUUACAGCACAUGAACCAGCUCAAGGAAGCCCCAAGUUCAACUGCUGCCAUUCCAGUCCAGAAGAUCCUAGACUUUGUGUUUUCAGUAGAAGAUACAGUUUGCUCCACCCGGUCUAACAGAAGUGCACUUCAGUAC
rnacentral:lncRNA from 1 species